UGUCCAGUCUCCAUUUGCAAUAUUGUAAAAUAAGGAACAGAUUUCAGGAAGCUGUCAGUAUCAUGGAAUAUUCUGCUCAUAUUUGGUGCUUUGCAUAGACAGUGUCAGUGAUCUGAGAGUGUUUAUAGGUCUGUUUAACUCUUCAUUGAGCUUCUCUUCAUGACAACAGAUCUAACAGCCAAAAUGACUUUGAUCUCCUUUAUCAUUUGGACACUCUACAGCAUGCAAGGUUGUUUAGGACAAAUUGUUGUGACUCAGUCUGAGGUUAAAUCAGUCCAGCCUGGUCAAACCAUCUCUAUUGACUGUAAAGUCGACACUGUGGUUUACAAAUAUGAGCAAGGCACAGUCUCUAAAGGGCGCUAUUACGUAUCUUGGUACAGCCAAAAGCCUGAAGAGGCUCCAAGACUCUUGAUUUAUUAUACAAAUGAAAGAAACUCAGGAAUUCCAUCAAGAUUCAGUGGCAGUGGACAAGGAAAUGGUCUGGACUUCAGUUUGACCAUCAGUGAUGCCCAGCUUGAAGAUGCAGGAGAUUAUUACUGUCAGAGUUACCAUGAGAUCAGUGGUAAAGCAGUGUUCACACAGUGAAAAUGUCCUGUACAAAAACCUCCACUGGUUACUAUUACUAACAUCUUCUGAUGCAGCUGCAAGUGGAAUACAGUGGUUAAUCAUGACACACAAGCACCCACAUAGUUUUAAUUUAAUUUAAUUUAAUUUAAUUU